rnacentral:tRNA from 1 species
GCAAGCAUAGUUUUAAUUCAAACAUUAGACUGUGAUCCUAAAAAUAGAAGUUAAAAUCUUCUUGCUCGCC